GUUUUUUUUACUAUUAUUUUUAUUAUCAUUAUCGUUAUUAUUUUCAAUACCGAUGAGAGAACACUGCGAAACCAGUAUCGCGGCAUCCGGUGGCGUGCGUCCAGCAAUUUUAAAUUGAGGUGGUUAAACAUCCUUCGAGGUUGAAGAGCAUGAAGCGAUAGGUACACGCAACAUAGCGAACGAGAUGUCAACAACAACGACGGCGCACAACAAAAUUAGACCCUUCUUGGGGUGUUCCCGCGGGCUGACCAGCUCCGUUACCGGCCCGACGAGUCCUGAGGGAACACCGAAAACACGGUGACCACUAAGGGUUGGAUAUUUUUUCCACGCUCUCUUUCUAAAUAGUAGGAAAUGGAUUAUAUAUAUUUUUUUACCCUCUCCUCCAUUAAUGGUAAAAUGCUCCAUCUCACUGACAAAGG